rnacentral:rRNA from 1 species
GCUACACAUGCAGUCGAGCGGCAGCACGGGUACUUGUACCUGGUGGCGAGCGGCGGACGGGUGAGUAAUGCCUAGGAAUCUGCCUAGUAGUGGGGGAUAACGUCCGGAAACGGGCGCUAAUACCGCAUACGUCCUACGGGAGAAAGUGGGGGAUCUUCGGACCUCACGCUAUUAGAUGAGCCUAGGUCGGAUUAGCUAGUUGGUGAGGUAAUGGCUCACCAAGGCGACGAUCCGUAACUGGUCUGAGAGGAUGAUCAGUCACACUGGAACUGAGACACGGUCCAGACUCCUACGGGAGGCAGCAGUGGGGAAUAUUGGACAAUGGGCGAAAGCCUGAUCCAGCCAUGCCGCGUGUGUGAAGAAGGUCUUCGGAUUGUAAAGCACUUUAAGUUGGGAGGAAGGGCAGUUACCUAAUACGUGAUUGUUUUGACGUUACCGACAGAAUAAGCACCGGCUAACUCUGUGCCAGCAGCCGCGGUAAUACAGAGGGUGCAAGCGUUAAUCGGAAUUACUGGGCGUAAAGCGCGCGUAGGUGGUUUGUUAAGUUGGAUGUGAAAGCCCCGGGCUCAACCUGGGAACUGCAUCCAAAACUGGCAAGCUAGAGUAUGGUAGAGGGUGGUGGAAUUUCCUGUGUAGCGGUGAAAUGCGUAGAUAUAGGAAGGAACACCAGUGGCGAAGCGACCACCUGGACUGAUACUGACACUGAAGGUGC